rnacentral:lncRNA from 1 species
GUUAAGAGAUCUUUAUUAUUCAAAAAAUAAAUAAGAUAAUCACAACUUCAUUCUGGAAACAAUGAGGACUACAGGUAGAUACAAUAGGUUUCCUUUAAAUACAGUCAUUUCUCAGGGAGGAGUGUGCAGCCUCAGAGCUGACUUCUCUUCCCCCCACCCCCCACCCCAUCAACAGUAGUGGAGACAGGAACAGGGUUGAAAUAAGAUACUUGAUGAGCAACUGCCUGACUC